rnacentral:rRNA from 1 species
CUCAUCAACUCCACCAUGCCCGCCUCCGCCUCGCCGGCUGUGCAAGUCGCCAGUGUGCGCACCCACGUGCCCGUCACGCUGGAUCUCAAAACCUCCAACUUCGCCAAGUGGCGGAUGCUCAUCCGCGUCCUCCUCGGCAAGUACGACUUGCUGUCCCACAUCACCACCGUCACGCCCGCGGCGGACCGCACGCCGGACUGGACCCGCGAGGACUACGUCGUCCGGUCCUGGCUGUACGGGUCUAUCUCCGACGAGAUCCUUGAUCUGAUCAUGGCGGAAGAUCAGACGGCGCAUGAGGCUUGGAAUCUCAUCUCCAACCUGUUUCUGGACAACCGGAUGACGCGCACGGUCUACCUCGAGGCCGAGUUCCGCGGCCUCGUCCAAGGCGAUCUCUCGGUCACCGCGUACUGCCAUCGCCUGAAGGCCCUCUCCGACGCCCUCGCCGACGUCAGCACCCCGGUCACAGACCAAACCCUCGUCCUCAACUGCCUUCGCGGGCUCAACCCGCGGUUCGCCGACAUCACCACGAUCGUGACCAUGCAGAACCCGCUUCCGACGUUCGGGCAGACGCGCUCUCUGCUGGUUCUUCGCGAGACCGCCCUGUACGGCGGCCACUCUUCCCAGGGCUCCGGUCCUGGCAGCGCCAACUCCAACCGCGGCGACGGCAACCGUGGUGGCGACAACUCCGGU